UAGGGGCCGUCUGGUUGCAUAUAGUUACAAUUGCACGGUAGUUAUAACUAUAUGUAAAUACAAAUUUGGUGUUUGAUUUGAUAUAUUUAAGUCCAACUGUUGCAGUAUGAACUGCAGGAGGGGGUCCAACUGUAGCAUUUGGAACUACGAUCAAAUUGGCCGCAGUUCCAAAUGCAGCAGUUGGAGAGAAUAAUUUUAAACAAAAGAUAACCUUACCCCUUUAAAUAUUUUUUAAACAAAAAAAAAAAAUUUUUUUUACAUUCGAGGUAAUCUCAUCAUUAUAUAUAUAAAAUGAUAAAAUUUUAAAAAUUAUUUCUCAACUGAAUGCAACCAAACAAAUUAUUUAUAGUUGCAGCGAUUUCUACUACAUUCAACCAAACAUGAUGCAUGCAAUUAUAACUAUUGCAUCUUCAAUUACAUACAUCUCCAACUAUACUGCAUUUGUAAUUACAUGCAACCAAACGGCCUCUUAGAGGCUGACAGGCUUAUUAACAACCUCU
rnacentral:lncRNA from 1 species